AUAGAGGGCUAGGGGGUGCUCCAAAGAGGAGCUGAGAGCCGGGUGACCCCGGCAACCCUUGGAACCUGAUCCGGUUAGUACCGGCGGAGGGAAGCCAUGGUAAAAGCAU
rnacentral:ncRNA from 2 species